rnacentral:rRNA from 1 species
CAUGCAAGUCGAACGAGAAUCUGUGGGAUCGAGGAUUCGUCCAAGUGAAGCAGAGGACAGUGGCGGACGGGUGAGUAACGCGUGAGGAACCUGCCUUUCAGAGGGGGACAACAGUUGGAAACGACUGCUAAUACCGCAUGAUACAUUUGGGUGGCAUCAUCUGAAUGUCAAAGAUUUAUCGCUGAAAGAUGGCCUCGCGUCUGAUUAGCUAGUUGGUGAGGUAACAGCCCACCAAGGCGACGAUCAGUAGCCGACCUGAGAGGGGUGACCGGCCACAUUGGGACUGAGACACGGCCCAGACUCCUACGGGAGGCAGCAGUGGGGAAUAUCGCACAAUGGAGGAAACUCUGAUGCAGCGACGCCGCGUGAGUGAAGAAGUAGUUCGCUAUGUAAAGCUCUAUCAGCAGGGAAGAUAGUGACGGUACCUGACUAAGAAGCUCCGGCUAAAUACGUG